CUUGAACCAACCCAACAAUCCAGUGAAGAGGUUCCCACCACCUCUCAAGGCAGCCCCUCUACUUUUUCAUAGCUGUCUCUACAGACUUCUGGCUGAUAAUGGGUUCACUGUUCAUCUCCCAUCAACCCACGCAUCACCCUCCAGAGCCCCCAAAAUGGUAAUCCGUUCCGCAGGGACAGGACCUCAGGGCACUUCUCCUUCCUGCUGCCAUGUGAAGAUGAACAUGUUUGCUUCCCCUUCUGCCAUAACUGUGUUUCCUGAGGCCUCUCCAGCCAUGCUGAACUCCUUCUGAUAAAGCCAUCAGCAGCCAUUUAUAAGAAACCUCUGAAAUGCACCAAGGUGUUUAAAGGAAGCCUCCGGUAUCUUCUUCUUACUGAAGACAUUGCCCUGUGAUUCUGAUUUGUAAAUUCAGAGAGAAAAGGAGAUCUGACACAGAAGAGGAGAAGGCAAUAAGAAAAUGGAAGCAGAAAUGGGAGUGAUGUGCUUUGCAGUCAGGAAGGAGCUACAAGCCAAGGAAUCUAGGUGGGCACUAGAAGGUGAAAAAGGCAAGGAAACAAAUUCUCCUCUGGAUCCUCAAGAAACAACCAGCCCUGCCAACACCUUGACUUUAGUCCAGUGGAACUUCAGCCCUCCAGAACUAUGAGAUAAUAAAUUCAUAUUGUUUUAAGCUACUUAGUUUGUGGUCAUUUGUUAUGGCAGCAAUGGCAAACUAAUACACAUGGUAAGAGUUAUAAGCAAGGAAGUAGAAAGGACUGCAGGAUUCUCUUGGUCUCUGGAUCCCAGAUGUCCAGCAUGUACCCCAGUGCUCGAUAAAUAGGUGCUCAAUGCCGUAUGAUUUUCACAGAAGCUAGGUGGCUUACAUAAGGUCACACGACUUAGAAGUGCCAGAGUCAGAAUUCAAACCCAGGUCACUGGCUUCAAAUGCUCUACUUUGCUCUUGCCUCUAUUUUCCACAUCCUUCCCCUGCUCAGAAACUUCCAGGGCUUCCUGCAGACCAAAGGACAAGGUCCAACUCUCCCAAGUGGUUCCCUUGGCUCCUGAGGGUAGGCGGGUAGCCAUGAGCCCGCUCAGAUGGUGGAAAUAAUGUUCCCACCGAGUAGGGUACAGCUUGGCCUCUCUCUCCGGUCAUGAGACUUCUACCCAGAGGGCCAUCUAUCAGCUACAAGAGCCCAGCUCAGAUGCUUUGUGCCGGGUUCCCAUAGAUCUCAUCACCAGAGGAGACUUCAAUUAUGCUUCCAUGUAGAGAAUGUGCUUAUUGUUCCUUUCAUGUGUCUCUUUGUGGCAUAAGCCUUACAAAGUUUAAAAGGUCAGUUUAAAAGCAUGUUCUUGCCUUUGAGUGAAAACUAUUCUGAACAACGACAAAAAGAUAAAUCAAGGGAUUCAAAACACUUUUUCAAAGUGUGAUUGUGCAAAUAACCCAGAGACAUGUGUCAAAGCAUGCAACUAAUAAAUCCAUGGGGGCCAGGUGACGGAACUCCAGUCAACCUUCUGCUGAGGCCUCCACCUCCUACCAUAGCUCCUUCCAGGCACCCCCUAGGGAGAGGCACGAGCCAGGUCACUGCUGGUGUUCUGGGGUCCAUGGGACCAGAACUCAAUCUCUGAAUAACUGAAUCCUUGGCUUGGUGGAAAGAGCCAUUCUCACAUAAAAACAAAGAAGCCAGGUGUGGUGGCUCACACCUAUAAUCCCAGCAUUCUCGGAGGCAGAGGUGGGAGGAUCCCUUGAGGCCAGCCUGGGCAAUAUAUCAAGAACUUCUCUCUAAAAAAAAUAGAAAAAUUAGUUGAGUGUGGUGUCAUGCACCUGUAGUCCCAGCUACUCAGGUGGAUAAGGUGGGAGGAUCACUGGAGCCCAAGAGUUUAAGGCUACAGUGAGCUAUGAUCAUGUAAGAUGCUACCUCUAAAAAAUAAACAAAUAACAAAAAUUAAAAUAAAAACUGAGGAGAUGAUCAUUCCUCUGUGUUUGUUACUAGAUUCUUGACUAAAUUAGGGUUAUGGGUUCUAAAAGAAAGGCAUCUCGUGAAAAUAAAGAUACUGAUCACUUCUAUGGUUCGAAUAUCUGACCCCUCUAAAAUGCAUGUUGAAAUUUAGUCCCCAGUGUGGCAGUAUUGAGAGGUGGGGCAUUCAAGACAUUAUUGAGUCAUAAAUGCUUUGCCCUCAUGAAUGGAUUAAUGGGUUAAUAAAUUAAUGAGUUGUUAUGGAAGUGGGAUUGGUGGCUUUCUACCAAGAGGACAGACCUGAAUUAGCAUACUCAGCCUCCCCAUCAUUGAUGCCUUGAGUUACCUCAACACUCUGCAGAGAGCCCCCACCAGGAAGAAAGCCCCCACUAGAUGUGACCUCCCAAUCUCAGACUUUCUAACCUCCAGAACUUUAGGACAUAAAUUUUGUUUCCUUAUAAACUACCCAGUUUCAGGUAUUCUGUUAUAUGCCAUAAAAAACAGACUAAGACAUUUGCUAUAGAUUUGAUGAAAUAUCAGAACCCAGUGUCAAUAGAGUUCAAAUUGAUCCCAUUCUUAAGGCACAAGAAUCUAGAAUACAAGAAAUUAACAUAAAUUUCCCCCAAGUCAGUGAAGCCCCAGAACACCUAACCAAAAUAAUGUAAAAUUUAUGUGGCACAGCACUUCCACAAACCAGUUCACACAAGAAUUGCUGGAAGAAAGAGGCUUUUUCGGUUUUUUAUUUGUUUUUUAAAUCCUACUAAAAUAUGCUCAACAUAAAAAACUCUUUAACACACGAGAAAUGAUGUACCAUGAGUAAAAGCCAACAGGCACACCAAAUAGGCCUCCCAAAAACUCAAGGUAGAGCAAAAAAUUUGAGAGACACUGUAAGUUAGAAAGAUUAGAGAAACUUUUUAAAAACAGGAAUGGAAAUCGUAAGAAAAGAGCUAGACAUGAUGAAUAAAGAAUGGGCAGUUUUAAAGAGUAAAUGUAGUCACUGAAAUGAUGGGCACAGGAUUUCUGCCAAGAUAGCUGAAUAGGAACAACUCCAGAGAGCAGUUCCCAGUGAGAGAGAACCGGAAGGUGAGCUAUCUACACAUUCCCAAACGAGGUACCAGGUUCAUUUCAUGGGUCUGGUUGGACAGUUGGAAUAGCCCAAAGAGGGCAAACCAAAGCAGGGCGGGGCACUGCCCCACCCAGGAAGUGCAAGCGGCCCGGAGGAUCGGGGGCCUUACCAUCUCAGCACUCUCAUCCAGAAACUGCACUUCCCCCACAGCCUCUGCAACCCUCAGUACAGGAGAAUACUGCUGGGCUGAAAAGUACAAGUUGUCAACACAGAUCCGAGCAACAGCUCCAGCCCGCCCAGUGCCGCCAGUUGUCGCCACAGGCAGGGGCAGAAGUUUUGACUAACACCGAGAACACUUGCAGGAUGGAACUACUGAUCCCCCAGAAAGAGGGAGAGUUGAAAGCAAGGUAACAGGUGAUACAGCUUGGCAGGUCCCACCCCACAAAGUCCAGCAAACUGACGCCCUCUCUAUCUAUAGAGUUUUGCAGCUAGCACAUCAGUGUGACCUGGACCCAGGAUGAUCAAGCUCGGCAGGAGGAAGGAUGCCCGCCACUGGGUAGGCGGGUCUAACCUCACCUGUGUAAACAAAACCCAGAGGAAGACUACACAGCAGCCGGGCUGCAGGCAGACAAGUGACAGACUGCCUCAUCAAGCGGCUUCCUGACAACUGCAUAACAAAAAAAAAUGCCUCAUACAGGAGAAAUAGCUUUGAUGUAAAAAGAAAGGACGUCCCCUCAGAGAUCCCAUCCGAAAUCACCAACUGCAAAGACCAAAGGUAGAUAAAUUCACAAAGAGGGGAAGAACCAGCACAAAAAGGAUGGAAUUAUCAAAGAUCCGAAUGCCUCUCCACCAAGGGACCACAGCUCCUCACCAGCAAGGGAGCAAAACAGGAUGGAGAAUCAGUUUGACGAAUUGACAGAAGCAGGCUUCAAUAGGUGGGUAAUAACAAACCUCUCUGAGCUAAAAGAACAUGUUCUAACCCAAUGCAAAGAAACCAAGAAUGCUGAAAAAAGGUUAGACAAAAUGCUAACUAGAAUAACCAGCUUAAAGAAGAACAUAAAUGACUUGAUGAAGCUGAAAAACACAGCACGAGAAUUUCAUGAGGCAUACACAAGUUUUAAUAGCUGAAUCAAUCAAGCAGAAGAAAGGAUAUCAGAGUCUGAAGACCAACUCAAUGAAACAAAAUGAGAAGGCAAGAUUAGAGAAAAAAGAGUGAAAAGAAAUAAAGCCUCCAAGAAAUAUGGGAUUAUGUGAAAAGACCUAAUCUAUGCUUCAUCAGUGUACCUGAAUGUGACGGGGAGAAUGAAUUCAAACUGGAAAACACUCUUCAGGAUAUUAUCCAAGAGAACUUACCCAAUCUAGCAAGGCAGACCAACGUCCAAAUCCAGGAAAUACAGAGAAUACCACAAAGACACUCCUUAAGAAGAGCAAACCCAACUUUCAGACAAAUUCAGGUCGCUCAUGGAGCAGAAGAUCCCCAGUGGAGGAGUCACACGGCUCGCCAGCAUGACUCUUGUGGCCGGCGCAGUGGUUUCGCCAGCACCUCGGCGCGGCAGCUCUAGGAGCAGAGCACACAGGGCUGGCUUCCCUUCGGACCAAGGAUUGGAGGACCCACACGGGCGCCCAGCACGACUCCUGAGGCCGGCACAGCGGCUGUGAUGGCACCUCGGCACGGCAGCUCUCAGCGCAGAGUAAACGAGACUGGUUCCCCUUCUGACCAAGGUUUGGAGCCCCGGGAAGGCAGAGUUGCCUAUUUUAAACACAAGAAGGAAGCCAGACAGGAGAAUCCUGGGCAGAAAAGCACCAUCAGUCUUAACGCCGCUGUUCUGGCCCUGGGAACUAACAACUUGGACAUCCACUCAAGAGACCUAAUCUGAAAGUUGGUAAUUUCAAAGAUGACAGGAGGAUAAAUUUACAAGGAUGGGAAGAAACCAGCGUAAAAAGGCUGAGAAUACUCAAAAUCAGAACGCCUCUCCCUCUAAAGAUGAUCACAGUUCUACAUCAACAAUGGAACAAGGCUUGAUGGAGAACGAGUGCAUCCCAAUAACAGAAUCAUGCUUCAAGGAAUGGAUAAUAAGAAACUUCUGUGAGUUAAAAGAACAUGUUGUAGCCCAACGUAAAGAAACUAAAAACUUUGAAAAAAGGUUUGAUGAAAUCCUAUUGAGAAUAGACAACUUAGAGAGGAAUAUAAGUGAAUUAAUGGAACUGAAGAAUACAAUACAGGAACUCAGAGAAGUAUGCACAGGUUUAAACACUCGAAUUGUUCAAGCAGAAGAAAGGAUAUCAGAGGUCAAAGUCCAACUUAAUGAAAUAAAACGAGAAGACAAGAUUAGAGAACAAAAGAUAAAAAGGAAUGAGCAAAGUCUCCAAGAAAUGUGAGACUCUGUGAAAAGACCAAAUUUACAUUUGAUAGGUGUACCUGAAUGUGAUGGAGAGAAUGAAUCCAAGCUGGAAAAUACCCUUCAGGAUAUUAUUCAGGAAAAUUUUCCUAAACUAGCAAAGCAGGUCAAUAUUCAACCCCAGGUAAUACAGAGAACACCACAAAGAUAUUCCUCUAGAAGAGCAACCCCAAGGGACAUAAUCGUUAGAUUCACCAAGGUUGAAAAGAAGGAGAAAAUACCAAGGGCAGCCAGAGAGAAAGGUCAGGUUACCCACAAAGGCAAGCCUAUCAGACUUACAGCAGAUCUGUCAGCAGAAACUCUACAAGCCAGAAGAGAGUGGGGGCCAAUAUUCAACAUCCUCAAAGAACAGAACAUUCAGCCCAGAAUUUCAUAUCCAGCCAAACUAAGCUUCACAACUGAAGGAAAAAUAAAAUCUUUUACGAAUAAGCAAGUACUCAGAGAUUUUAUUACCACCAGGCCUGCUUUACAAGAGCUUCUGAAAGAAGCAUUACACACAGAAAGAAACAACCAGUAUUAGCCUUUCUAAAAAUAUGUCAAAAAGUAAAGAGCACCAACAUAAAGAAGAAUUUACAUCAACGAAUGGAUAAAACAGCCAUUAACAUCAAAUGGCAGUAACCCUAAAUUUAAAUCGACUAAAUCCCCCAAUCAAAAGACACAGCCAAAACUCAACGGCAUGUUACAUCCAGACCUGUUUCACAUGCAAGGAUACACAAAGACUCAAAUCAAAGGGAUGGAGAAAGAUUUACCAACCAAGUGGAGAGCAAAAAUAAAUAAAUUAAUAAAUAAAAAGCAGGAGGUGCAAUUCUCCUAUCGGAUAAAAUAGAUUUUAAAGCAACAAAGAUAUAGUGGUAAAAGGAUCAAUGCAACAACAAGAGCUAACGAUCCUAACACCCAGAUACAUAGAGACUUAGAUUCAAUGAGACAGAAAAUUAAUAAGGAUAUCAAGGACUCGAACUCAGAUCCAGAACAAGUAAACUUAAUAAAUAUUUAUAGAGCUCUCCACUUCAAAUACACAAAAUACAUUCUCGUCAAUACCACAUCACACCUACUCAUAGGUUUAAAUGAAACAUUGAUUGGCCAUUAUUAAUACCCAUUUUUUCAGAAUAAAGCAAUA